AUUGAACGCUGGCGGCAUGCCUUACACAUGCAAGUCGAACGGCAGCGGACCUUCGGGUGCCGGCGAGUGGCGAACGGGUGAGUAAAGUAUCGGAACGUACCUUUCAGUGGGGGAUAACGUAGCGAAAGUUACGCUAAUACCGCAUAUUCUGUGAGCAGGAAAGCAGGGGAUCGCAAGACCUUGCGCUGAUUGAGCGGCCGAUAUCAGAUUAGCUAGUUGGUGAGGUAAAGGCUCACCAAGGCGACGAUCUGUAGCGGGUCUGAGAGGAUGAUCCGCCACACUGGAACUGGGACACGGUCCAGACUCCUACGGGAGGCAGCAGUGGGGAAUUUUGGACAAUGGGGGCAACCCUGAUUCAGCCAUGCCGCGUGAGUGAAGAAGGCCUUCGGGUUGUAAAGCUCUUUCGGCCGGGAAGAAAUCGCACAGGCUAAUACCCUGUGUGGAUGACGGUACCGGAAUAAGAAGCACUGGCUAACUACGUGCCAGCCGCCGCAGUAAAAC
rnacentral:rRNA from 1 species